rnacentral:rRNA from 1 species
GAUGAACGCUGGCGGCGUGCCUAAUACAUGCAAGUCGAGCGAACAGACGAGGAGCUUGCUCCUCUGACGUUAGCGGCGGACGGGUGAGUAACACGUGGAUAGCCUACCUAUAAGACUGGGAUAACUUCGGGAAACCGGAGCUAAUACCGGAUAAUAUAUUGAACCGCAUGGUUCAAUAGUGAAAGACGGUUUUGCUGUCACUUAUAGAUGGAUCCGCGCCGCAUUAGCUAGUUGGUAAGGUAACGGCUUACCAAGGCAACGAUGCGUAGCCGACCUGAGAGGGUGAUCGGCCACACUGGAACUGAGACACGGUCCAGACUCCUACGGGAGGCAGCAGUAGGGAAUCUUCCGCAAUGGGCGAAAGCUUGACGGAGCAACGCCGCGUGAGUGAUGAAGGUCUUCGGAUCGUAAAACUCUGUUAUUAGGGAAGAACAAAUGUGUAAGUAACUAUGCACGUCUUGACGGUACCUAAUCAGAAAGCCACGGCUAACUACGUG